UGGCUUAUGGGGCUGACAUUGGUUCUGGGACCAGAGACGCUGUUUGGGGCAGCUGGUCCUGGAGAGUGGGGGUGCCCAGAGCUGCCACGUUCAUGAUAAGGAUGCUUUUGCAAGUUGCCAAGGACCAAAGGAUCCCCAAGCACCCAUGGAGAACCAGACUCAGCUUCUGUUGCUUGCCGCCAGGAAUCCUGGCCCACGGAAAGUGAAACUUGCACUCAUGCCCAGAAGCAGCUGGUCUUGGGCAUCUUCCUUCUGAGCAACUGGUCUUAUUUUGUGGACACUGACUUGUCUUGGUGAUCUCGGGCAAGGGCCUUCUUCCUU